GGAUGAACGCUGGCGGUAUGCUUAACACAUGCAAGUCGAACGGAAUCUUCGGAUUUAGUGGCGGACGGGUGAGUAACGCGUGAGAAUCUGGCUUCAGGUUCGGGAUAACAGUUGGAAACGACUGCUAAUACCGGAUAAGCCUAUGGGUGAAAGAUUAAUUGCCUGAAGAUGAGCUCGCGUCCGAUUAGUUAGUUGGUGUGGUAAAGGCGCACCAAGGCGGCGAUCGGUAGCUGGUCUGAGAGGACGACCAGCCACACUGGGACUGAGACACGGCCCAGACUCCUACGGGAGGCAGCAGUGGGGAAUUUUCCGCAAUGGGCGAAAGCCUGACGGAGCAAUACCGCGUGAGGGAGGAAGGCUCUUGGGUUGUAAACCUCUUUUCUCAGGGAAUAAUCAAUGAAGGUACCUGAGGAAUCAGCAUCGGCUGACUCCGUGCCAGCAGCCGCGGUAAUACGGAGGAUGCAAGCGUUAUCCGGAAUGAUUGGGCGUAAAGCGUUCGUAGGUGGCUCGUCAAGUCGGCUGUUAAAGAGUCUGGCUUAACCAGAUAAGGGCAGUGGAAACUGAAGAGCUAGAGAAUGGUAGGGGUAGAGGGAAUUCCUGGUGUAGCGGUGAAAUGCGUAGAGAUCAGGAAGAACACCGGUGGCGAAAGCGCUCUGCUGGACCAUAACUGACACUGAGGGACGAAAGCUAGGGGAGCGAAUGGGAUUAGAUACCCCAGUAGUCCUAGCCGUAAACGAUGGAUACUAGGCGUUGCCCGUAUCGACCCGGGCAGUGUCGUAGCCAACGCGUUAAGUAUCCCGCCUGGGGAGUACGCACGCAAGUGUGAAACUCAAAGGAAUUGACGGGGGCCCGCACAAGCGGUGGAGUAUGUGGUUUAAUUCGAUGCAACGCGAAGAACCUUACCAGGGCUUGACAUGUCGCGAAUCUUUUUGAAAGGAAAGAGUGCCUUCGGGAGCGCGAACACAGGUGGUGCAUGGCUGUCGUCAGCUCGUGUCGUGAGAUGUUGGGUUAAGUCCCGCAACGAGCGCAACCCUCGUACUUAGUUGCCAUCAUUAAGUUGGGAACUCUAAGGAGACUGCCGGUGACAAACCGGAGGAAGGUGGGGAUGACGUCAAGUCAGCAUGCCCCUUACGCCCUGGGCUACACACGUACUACAAUGCGCCGAACAAAGGGUAGCAACCUAGCAAUAGCAAGCAAAUCUCGGAAAUCGGCGCUCGGUUCAGAUCGAAGCUUGCAACUCAGCUUCGUGAAGGUGGAAUCGCUAGUAAUUGCAGGUCAGCAUACUGCAGUGAAUUCGUUCCCGGGCCUUGUACACACCGCCCGUCACACCAUGGAAGCUGGUCACGCCCGAAGUCGUUACCCUAACCAAUUGGAGGGGGACGCCGAAGGUAGGACUGGUGACUGGGGUGAAGUCGUAACAAGGUAGCCGUACCGGAAGGUGUGGCUGGAUCACCUCCUUUUUAGGGAGACCUAAUAAAUUAUGAAUGAUGAAUGAUGAAUGAUGAAAGCAAACAAAAGAAUUCAUAAUUCACAAUUCAGAACUCAUAAUUGAUUCAUCCCGAGGUCGGUCGAGGAAAGAAAUGGCUUUCAAACUAUCAUUGGUUCGAUGCUUUGAGCAAAAAAGCAAAAAAGCAAUCGCAACAGCCGCCGGAAACAUCAGCAAUCAAGCCGUGUUGAAAACAAGCUUGACUGCUGGAAGUAGUUCCAGCCAGAACCUUGAAAACUGCAUAGAGACGCGAAAGUAAAGCUGGUAGAUAGUAGUGAGUGUCUAGUAGUUAGUAGCAAAUAGCAACUAACAACUCACAACUAACACCAAGAAAAAUGGUCAAGCAA
rnacentral:rRNA from 1 species